CAGCUGGGACAGAAAGAAUAACCCUUAUCCUUGGCAAAAGAUUAAGCACAAUGAAUGUAAGAAGUUUUACAGCAUUGCCGAUUUCAGCAAAUUUGAGAAUCCCAGACCAGACGUCAAACUUGAUUGAAGUGAAAUCCAAGCAAUUUGCUAUAUUUAAUGAACUGGAAAUCAGUCGCCUUGCAACUUUAGGAUUUUCAUUGUCACUUGUAAAUGCAGACUUUUGAUAUGGACAGAUGAAGUUUGGCUUACAUGAUCUAAUAAUGUUUGCUCUAAUAAAACGCAUUUAUUGUUUGUUUCCCAAAA